CAAUGUUUAAAUUAGUUUAAUUAAAAAUGAUAAAUAUGUUUUAAAGAUAAUAUCUAAUAUAAUAAAUAAUAUAUUCAAUAUCCCAUUUUCGAAGAAUCACAUAAGAAAUUUGCAUUUUGCUAUCAUGGUGAUAUCAUAACACGUUCGACAGUCUUAAUUAUCGUAGAAUUCUCGCGACGCGAUUAUGCAACGAGAAGUGAAAGUCGCUCGAUAUUUGCGAACACGAGGCGCGGUGCACGCAAGAGAUGUCGAGAUUUCUCGCAGAAAUUCGACCUCUUCGUCGUCCCUUCCCAACACGGCAUGUUGGCGGAAAUGAAACAAAUUGGAAUUUCGCCUGUAUAUCCGGAAGGAAGCAUACUGCCUUUUCGGAUUAUUAAAUGAGACACUGAAAUGUUCCAGUUGAUUCCUUUCUACAUGGAAACCGAGAAUUUUCUUCAGAAAGAGCUUUAAUAAAUACGAAUCAGAAUAGAAAGAGAAAAACGACUCGCAUCCAUAAAAUUUCAUUUCGAAAAUGUAUCCUCCCUUUUAUACAGAAUAUUAAUAAACGUUCUCUCGUGAGCCAACGUUUUCGUUCCAUCUCGAAAAUGAUAAAAUGGAAAAUGGUCAACGAAGUGUCGUCGUGUAUAUUCAAAGUAUAUGCUCGAGAUACGGACGAGUAUCUCGUAAGGAUGCUAAUUAAUUAAGAAUCGAGAUGGGAUGCCGAAUAUAAAUUUCUCAGACUUUCCCGCUUUUUAUUCGAAUUAUUUGAAAGCCGUUGCGUUUCUAUGGCGGGUUUUUCGAACGAGAGAUUCGCUUUAUAUAGAAAGUUCACUUGUGGAAAUGUAAUUUGGGUGGAUAUAGUCGUGUGAUUUCACGAUAGUGUUAAUUAACACGAUUGGAUGCCACGUGGAUGAAAUUUAACCAACUUGGAUGUUUCGAUGAUUGCACGUGAACCGAGGAAUGAGAAAUCUCGAUCGAUUGGCUAGAUAUACAUGCAUAUGUACUUGUCUGAUACACGGCUGGGAAUAUAUUUGCAUUUAUGAAAGGAUUAUCAAUACAUCUUACGAUUUCAAUUUGUACUGAUUAUUAUUAAAUAAAUGGAUAUUAAUGUAAAUUGAUAAAUUAUUUGAUAAUUUUUUUUUUUACAGAUAAUUUUAUAAUAGGAUU